AGUCAUGGAUCUAAAUUCUGAGACCCAAAUGAGGGGGAAGGCCAACCAGGACUACUUCUUGUCCAUAGCCCAGCUGUAGAAUACCAAAUUCACCUUACCUCUGGUACUUCCCCACACUAUCAUCUGUUCUUGAUGAUGACCUGCUCCCUACACCCUCCCCUGCUGACUCAUUCCUAUUUUGUGUCAUGCUACAUGCUGGAAUUGACAAGACUGGCUUGGCAAAUGUGUGCAGUUGUCUACUAUGUACAGGUCAACCCAAGUCUCCCCCUUCUGUCAUGCUCUUCCCACCAUCCCCUGAGGAGCUCUGAACCAACAAGGCCACCCUGGUGUGCCUCGUCAGUGACUUCUACCCCAGUGGUUUGACGGUGGCCUGGAAGGUAGAUGGCACUCCCAUCACCCAGGGUGUGGAGACCACCGAGCCCUCCAAACAGAGCAACAACAAGUACGCAGCCAGCAGCUACCCGAGCUUGUCACCUGACCAGUGGAAAUCUCGUAGCAGGUUUACCUGUCAGGUCACACAUGAAGGGAGCACUGUGGAGAAGAAUGUGGUCCCUGAAGAGUGCUCUUAAGUCCCUGAGACUGUCAGAGAUGGGAGCCUUCCUCAUCUAGACACCACUUCUCCAGCUCAUCAUGUACCCCUGAAAAACAACCCCUGGAUAAGCUCAGAUCAGUAAGGUCAUACACUCUCCCUGUCUCUACUUGUGUUCAAUAAAGA